rnacentral:rRNA from 1 species
UGUCGUCAGCUCGUGUCGUGAGAUGUUGGGUUAAGUCCCGNNNNGAGCGCAACCCUCAUCCUUAGUUACCAUCAGGUAAUGCUGGGGACUUUAAGGAAACUGCCAGUGAUAAACUGGAGGAAGGUGGGGAUGAUGUCAAGUCAUCAUGGCCCUUAUGGAGUGGGCUACACACGUGCUACAAUGGUGGCUACAAUGGGCUGCAAAGUCGCGAGGCUAAGCUAAUCCCUUAAAAGCCAUCUCAGUUCGGAUUGUACUCUGCAACUCGAGUGCAUGAAGUUGGAAUCGCUAGUAAUCGUGGAUCAGCACGCCACGGUGAAUACGUUCUCGGGUCUUGUACACACUGCCCGUCACGCCAUGGGAAUUG